GCAAACAAGGUUAUUCCUUUAACAUAAGAAUAGAAUAUUCCCAAGAAAAAUGAUUUGGGGAUUGGGCUAAGCUGGAAAUGACAUGGCCUUGGGAAGGAUUUAAGAGUGAGCAACCUCUUGGGUGGGCAGGAAGAGAUAAUCUUCCCAUGUUUGAAGAUGAGUGAGCCACAGAAAAAGAAAUUCCGAGCAAAAUUCAAAGAAAUCCAAAAGAAAAAAGGGCCAAAAACUC
rnacentral:lncRNA from 1 species